rnacentral:misc_RNA from 1 species
UACGGAGGGUGCAAGCGUUGUUCGGAAUUAUUGGGCGUAAAGCGCACGUAGGCGGGUCUGUAUGUCGGUUGUGAAAGCCCAGGGCUUAACCCUGGAAUUGCAGCCGAAACUGCAGAUCUUGAAUACUUGAUAGGGUGGGAGAAUUCCUGGUGGAGCAGUGAAAUGCGUAGAGAUCAGGAGGAGUACCGGAGGCGAAGGCGCCUGCCUGGCAAGAUAUUGACGCUGAGGUGCGAAAGCAUGGGGAGCAAACAGG